AAAUUGAAGAGUUUGAUCAUGGCUCAGAUUGAACGCUGGCGGCAGGCCUAACACAUGCAAGUCGAGCGGUAGCACAGAGAGCUUGCUCUCGGGUGACGAGCGGCGGACGGGUGAGUAAUGUCUGGGAAACUGCCUGAUGGAGGGGGAUAACUACUGGAAACGGUAGCUAAUACCGCAUAACGUCGCAAGACCAAAGUGGGGGACCUUCGGGCCUCAUGCCAUCAGAUGUGCCCAGAUGGGAUUAGCUAGUAGGUGGGGUAACGGCUCACCUAGGCGACGAUCCCUAGCUGGUCUGAGAGGAUGACCAGCCACACUGGAACUGAGACACGGUCCAGACUCCUACGGGAGGCAGCAGUGGGGAAUAUUGCACAAUGGGCGCAAGCCUGAUGCAGCCAUGCCGCGUGUGUGAAGAAGGCCUUCGGGUUGUAAAGCACUUUCAGCGGGGAGGAAGGCGGUGAGGUUAAUAACCUCACCGAUUGACGUUACCCGCAGAAGAAGCACCGGCUAACUCCGUGCCAGCAGCCGCGGUAAUACGGAGGGUGCAAGCGUUAAUCGGAAUUACUGGGCGUAAAGCGCACGCAGGCGGUCUGUCAAGUCGGAUGUGAAAUCCCCGGGCUCAACCUGGGAACUGCAUUCGAAACUGGCAGGCUAGAGUCUUGUAGAGGGGGGUAGAAUUCCAGGUGUAGCGGUGAAAUGCGUAGAGAUCUGGAGGAAUACCGGUGGCGAAGGCGGCCCCCUGGACAAAGACUGACGCUCAGGUGCGAAAGCGUGGGGAGCAAACAGGAUUAGAUACCCUGGUAGUCCACGCUGUAAACGAUGUCGAUUUGGAGGUUGUGCCCUUGAGGCGUGGCUUCCGGAGCUAACGCGUUAAAUCGACCGCCUGGGGAGUACGGCCGCAAGGUUAAAACUCAAAUGAAUUGACGGGGGCCCGCACAAGCGGUGGAGCAUGUGGUUUAAUUCGAUGCAACGCGAAGAACCUUACCUGGUCUUGACAUCCACAGAACUUUCCAGAGAUGGAUUGGUGCCUUCGGGAACUGUGAGACAGGUGCUGCAUGGCUGUCGUCAGCUCGUGUUGUGAAAUGUUGGGUUAAGUCCCGCAACGAGCGCAACCCUUAUCCUUUGUUGCCAGCGGUCCGGCCGGGAACUCAAAGGAGACUGCCAGUGAUAAACUGGAGGAAGGUGGGGAUGACGUCAAGUCAUCAUGGCCCUUACGACCAGGGCUACACACGUGCUACAAUGGCAUAUACAAAGAGAAGCGACCUCGCGAGAGCAAGCGGACCUCAUAAAGUAUGUCGUAGUCCGGAUUGGAGUCUGCAACUCGACUCCAUGAAGUCGGAAUCGCUAGUAAUCGUAGAUCAGAAUGCUACGGUGAAUACGUUCCCGGGCCUUGUACACACCGCCCGUCACACCAUGGGAGUGGGUUGCAAAAGAAGUAGGUAGCUUAACCUUCGGGAGGGCGCUUACCACUUUGUGAUUCAUGACUGGGGUGAAGUCGUAACAAGGUAACCGUAGGGGAACCUGCGGUUGGAUCACCUCCUUA
rnacentral:rRNA from 1 species